rnacentral:rRNA from 1 species
UACGGGGGGAGCAAGCGUUGUUCGGAUUUACUGGGCGUAAAGGGCGCGUAGGCGGUCAGGUCAGUCCCGUGUGAAAUCCCUCGGCUCAACUGAGGAACUGCACGGGAAACUGCCUGGCUUGAGUUCGGGAGAGGGAAGCGGAAUUCCGGGUGUAGCGGUGAAAUGCGUAGAUAUCAGGAGGAACACCGGUGGCGAAGGCGGGUCUCUGGGCCGUAACUGACGCUGAGGAGCGAAAGCAUGGGUAGCGAACAGG